UUCCAGACUCCUACGGGAGGCAGCAGUGGGGAAUAUUGCACAAUGGGGGAAACCCUGAUGCAGCGACGCCGCGUGAGUGAUGAAGUAUUUCGGUAUGUAAAGCUCUAUCAGCAGGGAAGAUAAUGACGGUACCUGACUAAGAAGCUCCGGCUAAAUACGUGCCAGCAGCCGCGGUAAUACGUAUGGAGCAAGCGUUAUCCGGAUUUACUGGGUGUAAAGGGAGCGUAGACGGUUAAGUAAGUCUGGAGUGAAAGGCCGGGGCCCAACCCCGGGACUGCUCUGGAAACUAUUUAACUUGAGUGCAGGAGAGGUAAGCGGAAUUCCUAGUGUAGCGGUGAAAUGCGUAGAUAUUAGGAGGAACACCAGUGGCGAAGGCGGCUUACUGGACUGUAACUGACGUUGAGGCUCGAAAGCGUGGGGAGCAAACAGGAUUAGAUACCCCAGUAC
rnacentral:rRNA from 1 species